rnacentral:rRNA from 1 species
UACGUAGGGUGCGAGCGUUGUCCGGAUUUAUUGGGCGUAAAGAGCUCGUAGGCGGUUUGGCAAGUCGGGUGUGAAACCUCCAGGCUCAACCUGGAGUCGCCAUCCGAUACUGCUAUGACUUGAGUCUGGUAGGGGAUCACGGAAUUCCUGGUGUAGCGGUGAAAUGCAUAGAUAUCAGGAGGAACACCGGUGGCGAAGGCGGUGAUCUGGGCCAGUACUGACGCUGAGGAGCGAAAGCGUGGGGAGCGAACAGG